rnacentral:snRNA from 1 species
GUGCUCACCUCAGCAGCAUACAUACUAAAACUGGAAUGACACAGAGAAGAUUAGCAUGGAUUCUAUGCAAGGAUGAUACACAAAUUCAUUAAACAUUCCAUAUUUCU